GACGAACGCUGGCGGCGUGCCUAACACAUGCAAGUCGAGCGAAUGAAGUUCCUUCGGGCAUGGAUUUAGCGGCGGACGGGUGAGUAACACGUGGGCAACCUGCCUCCUAGAGGGGAAUAGCCUCCCGAAAGGGAGAUUAAUACCGCAUAAGAUUGUAGUACCGCAUGAUACAUCAAUUAAAGGAGCAAUCGGCUAUGAGAUGGGCCCGCGGCGCAUUAGCUAGUUGGUGAGGUAAUGGCUCACCAAGUCGACGAUGCGUAGCCGACCUGCGAGGGUGAGCGGCGACACUGGGACUGAGACACGGCCCAGAAUCCUACGGGAGGCAGCAGUGGGGAAUAUUGCACAAUGGGGGAAACCAUGAAGCAGCAACGCAGCGUGAGUGAUGACGGCAGUCGGGUUGUAAAGCGCUGUCUACAGGGACGAUAAUGACGGUACCUGAGGAGGAAGCCACGGCUAACUACGUG
rnacentral:rRNA from 1 species